rnacentral:rRNA from 1 species
UAGGGAAUCUUCGGCAAUGGACGAAAGUCUGACCGAGCAACGCCGCGUGAGUGAAGAAGGUUUUCGGAUCGUAAAACUCUGUUGUUAGAGAAGAACAAGGACGUUAGUAACUGAACGUCCCCUGACGGUAUCUAACCAGAAAGCCACGGCUAACUACGUGCCAGCAGCCGCGGUAAUACGUAGGUGGCAAGCGUUGUCCGGAUUUAUUGGGCGUAAAGCGAGCGCAGGCGGUUUCUUAAGUCUGAUGUGAAAGCCCCCGGCUCAACCGGGGAGGGGCAUUGGAAAAUAGGAGACUUGAGUGCAGAAGAGGAGAGUGGAAUUCCAUGUGUAGCGGUGAAAUGAGGAGAUAUAUGGAGGAACACCAGUGGCGAAGGCGGCUCUCUGGUCUGUAACUGACGAUGAGGCUCGAAAGCGUGGGGAGCAAACAGG